GACGAACGCUGGCGGCGCGCCUAACACAUGCAAGUCGAGCGAGAACCCGAGGAGGGGUAACCCUUCUCGGGGGAGAGCGGCGAACGGGCGAGUAACAUGUGGGCAACCUGCCCCAGACCCUGGGAUAACUCCGGGAAACCGGGGCUAAUACAGGAUACCCUCGGCGGACCGCAUGAUCUGUCGAGGAAAGCCUUUACGGUCUGGGAUGGGCCCGCGGCCUAUCAGCUUGUUGGCGGGGUAACGGCCCACCAAGGCGACGACGGGUAGCUGGUCUGAGAGGACGGCCAGCCACACUGGGACUGAGACACGGCCCAGACUCCUACGGGAGGCAGCAGUGGGGAAUCUUGCGCAAUGGGCGAAAGCCUGACGCAGCGACGCCGCGUGGGGGAUGAAGGCCCUCGGGUUGUAAACCCCUUUCGGCAGGGACGAAGCGAAAGUGACGGUACCUGCAGAAGAAGCUCCGGCUAACUACGUGCCAGCCGCCGCCGUAAAAC
rnacentral:rRNA from 1 species